rnacentral:rRNA from 1 species
UACGUAGGGUGCAAGCGUUUGUCCGGAAUUAUUGGGCGUAAAGAGCUCGUAGGCGGUUUGUCGCGUCUGCUGUGAAAUCUGGGGGGCUCAACCCCCAGCCUGCAGUGGGUACGGGCAGACUAGAGUGCGGUAGGGGAGAUUGGAAUUCCUGGUGUAGCGGUGAAAUGCGCAGAUAUCAGGAGGAACACCGGUGGCGAAGGCGGGUCACUGGUCCGGUACUGACGCUGAGGCACGAAAGCGUGGGGAGCGAACAGG